UUGAAUUCAUACAUUAAAUGCUUUCAGCCUUGUGCAUGGAAACCUGAAUUCUGGUGGACUAAAAAUUCCCAGCGCAGAGCUAACAAAAAUAGGACACUGUUUUGUAAUCCAAGGAACCUAGAGUAAUCCAAUAAAAUGACUUGCCAAUAUGUUCAGGACGAACGAAGGUGUGAAUAUUUAUUUAGCCAAUGGAUCGUGAACAUAUGGAAUUCCUUGCUGCAAAGUGUGCUGAUGGUCACUGGUUUAAAUGGCGUUUAGAUUCAUGGAGGAAAUCUCUGUCAACUGCAGUUGGCAGGUGUGAUCUGGAUUGUUCUUGAUUGAUUUGUGUUUUCAAGCAUCGGUGAAACGCAGAACCAGCCCCCAUCCCACUACCUGAUGCUUGUGAGAGUGUCUCGUUUUGCUCAGAUGCUAGUGAAUUUGGCACGCGUUUCCAGGUCUGCAGCUCACUCACAGAAAGUCAGCCUGAAAAUUCAGCCUCACUCAGAAGAAGUCAGACUCAAGUCUCAAUCAAGGCUACCAAAAGGGGUCACAAAAGGGAACCUAAACAGGGGGGAAAGGCAGCCAUCUCAUCAGGAAACCUUGUACAGUAUGUUGCAUAUUUGGACUGAGAG